UACAGCCAUAUCACAUUGAAACACCAGUUCUCAUCCAGUCACUGAAGUUAAGCAACAUUGAAUCUGGUCAGUACCUAUAUGAGUGACUGCUUGUGAAUAUCAGGUGCUGUAAGC